UUCUCCUGGAGAACAUGUGGCCUUUGGGGAUUUUUUAUGCCAGGUCUUUUGCCCUCUUUUGACAAAUGAGCAAACUGUGAUCUACCUCCUGCAGACUUCAGAUGCACAUUUGCCUGUCCAGAAUGGUUUGCACACAGCAUUCUGCUAUAACUGCACAGGUACAAGUCCCAGGUGAGAGACUUUUCAUCAAAAGCAAGCAGUAGCAACACAAGUGCGAGCAGCCCCUGCUUCAGGAGGGUUUGCUGAAUAGCUCUGUGGCAGAAGGCAGCAGGGAGGCUGAGAGCACUGGAAAGCCCUGACCACCAGAAUUCUACCCAACACGAGAGCAGCCGUAGCCAGGCGAUUUGCUUCCUAGCAUUGCAGCACAAGCAUGGCAGAGACAGGCCCCCUGCACACACAUAUUCACUCUAGAACAUCCCCAGUCACCCUCCCAUUAAGGUCUUGGCAAGAAUAAAUCAGGAGGCUGUGUCAGUGCGUCCGAGUGGCUGCAGAGCCAGCUGAGGUUGCCAGGCAGACACAGUGCCCCUUCUCCUGCAGCACCCCAAGGUGGGGAGCACAGGGAUCUGACACUUUCAGCCCACAGGAGGGACUGGGAUUAUGCUGUCGCCCUACUAACCGUCAGCUGCUAGCAAGGUGGAUUUGUGCUUUGCACUAAUGAAGGUCCCCAGCGGAACUGGAGAAGGGCAGAGCGAGCAGUCAGCUCUGUCCACACCCGGCAGCUCACGCUGCUUUUGCAACUGAUCAGUCAGCAGGUCCCCAGUUCGUGCAAGGGAGCACAGCAGUGCUGAAGUGUGUGUGAAGCCAUCAGGCUGCCCACCCCUGUGCACAGCAACAUCACUGCACAGGCCGCCCGGCCGGGGCCUUCCUCUCCUCGUGCCCGUGGCACUGCUGCUUGUGUCGCUGCCGCACCUGAGGCUGGAGCGAUGCCGCGAGCAGUGUCCCAGGAAUCGGCACCCGAAGAAGCAGCAGCAGACGGUUCUUGCCGUGACAGACCUGCGGUCCUGGUACAUGAGAGCCCCGAGGAGGAAAGACAGGCCAUGGCCUGGUGAGGGUGUCCCAGGGCUGUGUAGCUUGAGCUUCUUCCAUUGCACAUCUCCAUUCUGUCUUUGAGUCUAUUACCUCUUCACCCAAAGCUCCCAUUCUUAGAGCUCGUGAAUCCUGGCCCAUUUCAUCUGACCCUAGCAGUGGGGAGGGAAGGCACUUUUGGAAGGAGGGAGGCUGCAUUUGACUUCUGUCCAAGGUCUGCUUGUACUAAAGCUGGAAAACAAUGGAAGUGCAAGAGAGAGAAGGGGUUUGGCUGCUGGGUAGACACAUCCAGGCCAAAGAAGUAAAGGGGCCUGGCUCCUCACUUGUGUGAAGGAUCAUACUCAAAAUUGUGCCUUCUAAACAAAUAGUAUUA